rnacentral:rRNA from 1 species
UACGUAGGGGGCAAGCGUUGUCCGGAAUCAUUGGGCGUAAAGCGCGCGUAGGCGGCCCGAUAAGUCCGCCGUGAAAGUCCAGGGCUCAACCCUGGAAUGCCGGUGGAAACUGUCGGGCUGGAGUCCGGAAGAGGCGAGUGGAAUUCCUGGUGUAGCGGUGAAAUGCGCAGAUAUCAGGAGGAACACCAAUGGCGAAGGCAGCUCGCUGGGACGGUACUGACGCUGGAGACGCGAAAGCGUGGGGAGCAAACAGG